GGAAUUUUGUACAGGUGGGUGGAGGGGUUUUGGAGAGGGGUGGAGGGGCUGGGGUUUUGUACGGGGAGGUUGGGGUUAUUUAAAUUAUAGAAACAUACAAGCAUAGAAUGUGACGGCAGAUAAGAACCAUUUGGCCCAUCUAGUCUGCCCAAUUUUCUAAAUACUUUCAUUAGUCCCUGGGUUUUGUACAGGGGGUAGAGGGGCUGGGAUUUUG